rnacentral:rRNA from 1 species
GAACCUUACCAGGUCUUGACAUCCUUUGACCACUCUAGAGAUAGAGCUUUCCCUUCGGGGACAAAGUGACAGGUGGUGCAUGGUUGUCGUCAGCUCGUGUCGUGAGAUGUUGGGUUAAGUCCCGCAACGAGCGCAACCCUUAUUGUUAGUUGCCAUCAUUUAGUUGGGCACUCUAGCGAGACUGCCGGUGACAAACCGGAGGAAGGUGGGGAUGACGUCAAAUCAUCAUGCCCCUUAUGACCUGGGCUACACACGUGCUACAAUGGGAAGUACAACGAGU